AAGCGAGCCGGUGACGGUGGGCGAAUCCCAAAAAUAAACGUCCCAGUUCGGAUUGUAGUCUGCAACCCGACUACAUGAAGCUGGAAUCGCUAGUAAUCGCGGAUCAGAAUGCCGCGGUGAAUACGUUCCCGGGUCUUGUACACACCGCCCGUCACACCAUGGGAGUCGGAAAUGCCCGAAGUCUGUGACCGAAUCGAAAGGGAGGAGCAGCCGAAGGCAGGUCGGAUGACUGGGGUGAAGUCGUAACAAGGUAUC
rnacentral:rRNA from 1 species